GCCUCCUGACUAACUAUAAGAGGUCAAGCCUGCCCAGUGACAUUGUUCAACGGCCGCGGUAUCCUAACCGUGCGAAGGUAGCGUAAUCACUUGUUCUUUAAAUGAGGACUAGUAUGAACGGCUUCACGAAGGCUAUACUGUCUCCCUUAUCUAAUCAGUUAAACUAAUCUCCCCGUGAAGAAGCGGGGAUUCACAUAUAAGACGAGAAGACCCUAUGGAGCUUAAAACACCUCUAAACAUUUGACCUCCACACUACCAUUUUCAGAAAUCUUCACAAAGCCCGUCAUUUUGUUUUAAGUUUUAGGUUGGGGUGACCGCGGAGAAUAACCUAACCUCCACGUAGAAAGAACUUUCUUUUCUAAGCAAAAAGCUACAUCUUUAUGCAUCAACAUAUUGACCUAAUUGACCCAAUUAUUUGAUCAACGAACCAAGUUACCCU
rnacentral:rRNA from 1 species